rnacentral:rRNA from 1 species
UACGGAGGGAGCUAGCGUUAUUCGGAAUUACUGGGCGUAAAGCGCACGUAGGCGGCUUUGUAAGUAAGAGGUGAAAGCCCAGAGCUCAACUCUGGAAUUGCCUUUUAGACUGCAUCGCUUGAAUCAUGGAGAGGUCAGUGGAAUUCCGAGUGUAGAGGUGAAAUUCGUAGAUAUUCGGAAGAACACCAGUGGCGAAGGCGGCUGACUGGACA